AUCCUGCAGCUUCGCGGCUCCUCGGCAGUAGGUGUGUGCUGCUCAGCGCGGGCUCCCAGGAGCUCGGCUUCGCGGACCGAGCGGGCGGCCACGGGGCAGGACGGCAGGGCGCUGAAGCAGCCCCGCGCCCGGGCCAGCUGAGAGAGUAUCUUAUCAUCAGCACAACAGCCCUGGUGUUGCUACAGGAAUACCUGACGCCAACAGGCAAAUAAUGGCAGUGACCCUGAGACCACUUCUGCUGGCUGCCACUCACCUGACGAUUACAGGGCCUGCUGUGAACACCUCUCCUCCUUGGGCUUGUGUUUCCUGAGGAGGUGGAGUUAGAGAGUAUCACAGGUUUCUGUUAGCUCUGAGAGUCCAAGAUUUCAAGGCCAGCGAGAGUGGAAACCUUGGGGCCAAGGGCUCCUGUCUGCCUUUUCUAUCCCAUAUCCCCGCUGUGAAGAAAUGUAGCUGGCCCGUAUGUGCUCAAUGUUUGUUGAAUGAAUGUACCUUUGUAAAUAACAAGCUGGCAGAAGGGUGGGCUUUUCUCACACUCCAUCUCUGAAGAUUGAUGUGACUGUCCUUUGGAGAGAAUCUAGUUUCAGACUUUCAGUUCUGUGGCUCUGGGUGAAAACCAACAAAGACCCAAAUCCUCUUUCUUUGGGAGCUUGAGGAGAGUUUACUAGUUUAUGUUCCCAUUGGGUCUGAGAACUUUGACUUUAAACUCCACUCCGGGCCCCUGCCUACUGCUUCCUGGCCUGGGGAAUAGAGUUGAGUCACCUUCCUUUGACUCUCCCCAUAGAAACAACAGAACCGAGCUCAGCUGGAUGAAAUAACGUGAUUUCUUCAUGACAUGACUGCUGCGUUUGGGGGGCACUGAGACAUAGAGGCCCCAGUCUUGUCUCGCCCACUCCCAUCCUGGGGAAGAAGACUCACCCCCCCAGAUUCCACCCUAUCCCACAGAGUCCCCAAUAACCUGUUCCCAUGGGUGGUCCUGUCCUGGGGCAUUGGUGCAUUCUGGGGGCAUGUCUCCCUGUGCCAUCUCUGUCACCCCCUAGUAAGAGCUCUGUCUUC